ACAUUGGUGGUUCAGUGGUAGAAUUCUCACCUUCCAUGUAGGAGACCCAGAUCCGAUUCCUGGCCAAUGCG
rnacentral:tRNA from 1 species